rnacentral:misc_RNA from 1 species
UCUUAGCCCCGAUUGCAGCAAUUGUCUGAGCUCAUUUUAAGAAUUAGGCUGCGGCGGCGAAGCCGCCGCAGCCUAAUUCUUAAAUAGCGAGUGCGGAAAGCGGGAAAAAGC